AUUUCGAAUCUGAAAACAUAUAAUCUGAAACUAUAAAAAAAAAAAAUUUAUUUUUUUUAUUUUAUUUAUUUUUAUUUAUUUUUGUUUGUUUAUUUAAUUUUAAACUAAGGGUAUUAGAAAUAUUUUACCCUUUAAUGAAUGUCAUUUUUGUGACUUUCUCCUUCUAGUACUAUUUUUGAGGCAUAAACUUCAAAAGGUGCUAUUAUUGACAAUUGUCCUUUACUAUAUUAUACAGUAUUAAAUCGUUUUUAAUUGCGAACAUAACAACAGUUACUGAGCUGCUAAUCACGUUCCACAUCACACUGAUCAUUAUUUUAAGAAGAAAAUAAGAGUUUUUAACACUAUAAGACACUUUUCAACAUUUUAUUACACAUUAAAACACUUUGUGCUACUAGGGUAGUUUAUGGUGCUAAAAAGACUAAAGUGUCCUCAACUUAAACCUUCCCUUGUUGUUGUUGCACGUGAGUCUGAAGUUAAAUUCAGUUUGUUGUUUCCUCUCUUACGUCCGAUCUCAUCUUUUCUCUCUAUUCUUAUGUUCUAAACAAACAAUAAAACUCUCUUUUCUCUCCACUGGUCAAUCCUUUUGUGUCUCGGAUCUUAUGUUCUAACCGUGAAAAAGAUGACUAUGACAACAUAGAAGAUACUGGCUUCCGACGGCUGGGAAGAUCUUUUUACUGAGGAGCCUGGGAAGCAAGUGAAGACGAGCAUGUGAAAGGUGAAUGAGUGGGCUACACACAGAGUUGCGACCAUUUACUUAUCAAAAGUAUACAUAUGUACACAUAUCAAUCAGUACGCGUGUACAUUGUUGUAAUUUAAUGCACAUGUACGCCAUUAUUGACGCAGUCCACAAAAUUCUUUACUUGCAUAAAAAGCUAUUCUUACUACAGUUCGUUUUUGCUGUGAACUCACUUAAAAGAUGAAUCCUUUUAGUGAUUGGAGAUGAGGAGUGGCGUCCAUGUGUACAAUAUGUUUCAGUGUCCACAAUAUAUGUGUACAUGUGGACAUUUGAAUGACUAGAGAUUCACAGAUCUAUAACUCUAACGCCAUGCGUUCAUAUACCUUUAUGAGUUUAGUGAUGUACAACAUUAGUUACUCGAUCUCUCCCACAUGAACAUGAUGAGAACAUGAUUUUCAACUCACAACCACCCUCCGUACUAUUGGAAAAAGAUUCAUAAUGCCGUGCCUGUUUUUGGUUAUUAAAGAUAACCAAAUACAGUUGAGUGUUUGUCAGCGAUUGUAAAUUUGAAUGCCAAUUUUUACAUUUUAUGCAACGUUGCACAAUGUUGUUCAAAUAUUAAAAAUGUAUAUAUAUAUGUACAUCUGUACACUAUGAGAUUGAUGUACACAUGGAUAUUAUGUACAAUGGACACAUUUCAAAAAGGUUACAUGGAUAUUAUGUACAAUGGACUCAAGGAUUUGGCUAACUUUCAUCCUCCUCUACAUGAAACUCUCUUUAUCUCUGACUACUCCCAACUUUUAACUAUUUCACAACAACUUUUUCUCACUAGGGAACACACCUUUGUGCACGUAACCAAACUUGCCUUGUCCUAACAAGUUUGCAUCAGAGAAGCCAUUGGUGGCUCUAGCUAGCUAGCUCCUCUUAUGUGAAAGUGCUUUGGAGAAGCGUAGGACAAGCCAUGGAAAAGGGUGGAGAAAGUAAUAGACAAUCUGAGUAGUUGGAGCCGCCGCUUCUGCUCAUGAAAGGCGGUGGUGGAGGAGGAUGAGAUUGUUGUGGAGGAGAUGGAGGCUUACGUGGUGGUAGUGACGUCGAAACAUGAUCUGACGACGGUAUUGCGUUUUGUUGCGUCAUUUUGUUGAUGUCCAUCGUAAAAUCCUCCAGCUGAGAAACACACUAACCUUCCAAAUCUUAAAAUAAGAUUUUCAAUUUUGGAAAAAGAUUGAAACGUUGAAGUAAUUCAUAACAAAAAAACAAAAUUGCAAUUCUCUAGGAAGCUAAUACCUUUGGGACCAUGAGGAUGUGAUGGGAGAGCAUAGUAAGCACCUUAUCGUCAAUUCUCCGUUUCUUCUUACAAAUAAUACAAACCAGAAUCACUAUCACAAGCAAUAUGGAAUUACCAACCACCACUCCUGUUGAUAAUUUAUCCGAAGAAGGAGACAACGAAGAUGGAAUUCGAGGAGAUUCUCCUCCAUCGCCGCCUAAGAGAUUCAACGGUGGUUUUGAUACCGAAGGUGAAGGGUUUCAAAUAGGGGAUCCAGGAGGGAAUAACAGGUGUGCGAGGAGACAGUUGAGGAGAAGGAGGAAUAGAAGACGGAUGAGGAGAUCUGGGAUUAGUGGGUGGCGGCGGAGGAGAAGAAGAGGUUGCGGUGGGACGAACCGUAAAAAUAAUUACGAUUUUUUUUCUAUCGUUAAGAAGAAGAAGGAUAUAAUUGACAUUUUAUCUUUUCAUUUAUGUUGAAAAGCUUGGACAAAGUGUCCUAGUAGCAAGAUGUGUCUUAUUGUGAAAUUAAAAAGAGAAAAGUGACUUAAAAAGAAAAUAAUGCUAGCUACUGAGCUGCUCAUCACGUUCACAUCACACUGAUCUAAUGAUUUCAUUUUUCUUCUUCUAACGAAUCUAAUUAUCUAAAAACAAGCUGAAGCUACCACUUUCCAUUUCGAAUUUUACAAAUUGGAAUUUUCUGAAUUACACAAAACAAUUAUUCUUAAUUAUUCCAAUCUUCAUGUAGAAUAUUAAACCCAAAAAAAA